rnacentral:rRNA from 1 species
UGGGGAAUCUUGCGCAAUGGGGGAAACCCUGACGCAGCAACGCCGCGUGCGGGACGAAGGCUUUCGGGUUGUAAACCGCUUUCAGGAGGGAAGAAACUGACGGUACCUCCAGAAGAAGCUCCGGCCAACUACGUGCCAGCAGCCGCGGUAACACGUAGGGGGCGAGCGUUGUCCGGAUUUAUUGGGCGUAAAGAGCUCGUAGGCGGCUCAGUAAGUCGGGUGUGAAACCCUCAGGCUCAACCUGGGGACG